rnacentral:rRNA from 1 species
AGAGUUUGAUCCUGGCUCAGAUUGAACGCUGGCGGCAUGCUUUACACAUGCAAGUCGAACGGCAGCACGGGUGCUUGCACCUGGUGGCGAGUGGCGGACGGGUGAGUAAUACAUCGGAACGUAUCCUAAAGUGGGGGAUAACGCAUCGAAAGAUGUGCUAAUACCGCAUACACUCUGAGGAGGAAAGUAGGGGAUCGAAAGACCUUAUGCUUUUGGAGCGGCCGAUGUCUGAUUAGCUAGUUGGUAAGGUAAUGGCUUACCAAGGCAACGAUCAGUAGUUGGUCUGAGAGGACGACCAGCCACACUGGGACUGAGACACGGCCCAGACUCCUACGGGAGGCAGCAGUGGGGAAUUUUGGACAAUGGGCGCAAGCCUGAUCCAGCAAUGCCGCGUGAGUGAAGAAGGCCUUCGGGUUGUAAAGCUCUUUCAGUUGAGAAGAAAAGAUUGUGACUAAUAAUUGCAAUUCAUGACGGUAUCAACAGAAGAAGCACCGGCUAACUACGUGCCAGCAGCCGCGGUAA